rnacentral:rRNA from 1 species
AGCGAACGCUGGCGGCGUGCCUAAUACAUGCAAGUCGAACGAAGUGGCGCACGGGGGUGUAAUAUAUAGUUAAUCUGCCCUACACAGAGGAACAACAGUUGGAAACGGCUGAUAAUACCUCAUAGUGUAGUAUGAGACUGUAUCGUAUCAGCUAGUUGGUAAGGUAAUGGCUUACCAAGGCUAUGACGCGUAACUGGUCUGAGAGGAUGAUCAGUCACAUUGGAACUGAGACACAGUCCAGACUCCUACGGAAUGCAGCAGUAAGGAAUAUAGCGAAAUGGGGGAAACCCUGACGCAGCAACGCCGCGUGGAGGAUGACACUUUACGAAGCGUAGACUCCUUUUAUCAGGAAAGCGGUACCUAAUGAGUAAGCACCGGCUAACUCCGUGCCAGCAGCCGCGGUAAUUC